AAAAUUAAUAGACUAAUAUGGCAAAUACAAUUUUUCUUCUUUCUUGUCUCUUUUUUUCUUCAGGUUAAAGGUGUGACAGAUUCAAAAUUCUACAUUCUAAGGGUGAUUGCGACUAACUAUAACUUAAUGCAAACUUUACUGGUUAUAAAGACAGGAUGGAAGUUAAUUCCAGUUCCUGGAAGGAAUAAUAUAGAUGGAGCUUGGGCCAUCCAUUUGUAGGAGAAGCAUUCCUGUUAUCUUUGUUUCCUGUGUUGCCUUCCUGUGGCCAGAGGUGCAAAAUGGUUAUCUAAGAAGGAAAUGAGCAGACAAGGCUACUGGGUGAUUCACAAUGAACUGUAAAGUCAUCACAGUUUGUAUUUGCCAUCAUGGAGUUGAUGAAUAUCUGAAGAUCACCUUGAGGGUUGAGAGAAGGUGAGUUCUGUAAAUAUUAACUCUUGGAUACCUGUAAACAUCUAAUUGGAAGUGUUGACAGGACAGUUUGAUUAUCAGAUCUGUAGCUCAAAGUUGAAUCCAAGCUAUAGGUAAGUUUGGAAUGAAUCAUAUAUGGAUGGCAAUUGAAGCCAUAACCUUUAAGAGAUAACGAAAGGAGAGAGUAUAAAAAUAAAAGAAUAAAUUUGAAAUCUGAAUUGAGAUAA
rnacentral:lncRNA from 1 species